AGUGAACGCUGGCGGUAGGCCUAACACAUGCAAGUCGAACGGCAGCACAGUAAGAGCUUGCUCUUACGGGUGGCGAGUGGCGGACGGGUGAGGAAUACAUCGGAAUCUACUUUUUCGUGGGGGAUAACGUAGGGAAACUUACGCUAAUACCGCAUACGACCUACGGGUGAAAGCAGGGGAUCUUCGGACCUUGCGCGAUUGAAUGAGCCGAUGUCGGAUUAGCUAGUUGGCGGGGUAAAGGCCCACCAAGGCGACGAUCCGUAGCUGGUCUGAGAGGAUGAGCGGCCACACUGGCAGUGAGACAGGCUCCAGCCGCAUAGGGGUGCGACCAGGGGGCAUAUGGGAACAAGGGGCGAGGGUUGUAGCCACCUUUCCGGCGGGGGUAAAGAGCGCCUCCGGGUUGUAGACCCCUUUGGUGGGGAAGGAAAACGAGUGGGUUUAUCCCCCGGUGUGAUGACGGUACCAAAGAAAAAAACCCCGGCUAACUUCGGC
rnacentral:rRNA from 1 species